rnacentral:rRNA from 1 species
CCUACGGGAGGCUGCAGUGGGGAAUAUUGGACAAUGGGGGGAACCCUGAUCCAGCAAUGCCGCGUGUGUGAAGAAGGCCUGAGGGUUGUAAAGCACUUUCAGUGGGGAGGAGGGUUACUAGGUUAAGAGCCAGGUAAUUGGACGUUACCCACAGAAGAAGCACCGGCUAACUCCGUGCCAGCAGCCGCGGUAAUACGGAGGGUGCGAGCGUUAAUCGGAAUUACUGGGCGUAAAGGGUGCGUAGGUGGUUAAUUAAGUUAGAUGUAAAAGCCCUGGGCUUAACCUGGGAAUGAGAUUUAAUACUGAUUAACUGGAGUAUUGGAGAGGGUAGUGGAAUUUCCGGUGUAGCGGUGAAAUGCGUAGAGAUCGGAAGGAACACCAGUGGCGAAGGCGGCUACCUGGCCAGAUACUGACACUGAAGCACGAAAGCGUGGGGAGCAAACAGGAUUAGAUACCCCAGUAGUC